UAACGCGUAGGAAUCUAUCCAUGGGUGGGGGAUAACUCUGGGAAACUGGAGCUAAUACCGCAUGAUACCUGAGGGUCAAAGGCGUAAGUCGCCUGUGGAGGAGCCUGCGUUCGAUUAGCUUGUUGGUGGGGUAAUGGCCUACCAAGGCGAUGAUCGAUAGCUGGUCUGAGAGGAUGAUCAGCCACACUGGGACUGAGACACGGCCCAGACUCCUACGGGAGGCAGCAGUGGGGAAUAUUGGACAAUGGGGGCAACCCUGAUCCAGCAAUGCCGCGUGUGUGAAGAAGGUUUUCGGAUUGUAAAGCACUUUCGGCGGGGACGAUGAUGACGGUACCCGCAGAAGAAGCCCCGGCUAACUUCGUGCCAGCAGCCGCGGUAAUACGAAGGGGGCUAGCGUUGCUCGGAAUGACUGGGCGUAAAGGGCGUGUAGGCGGUUUGUACAGUCAGAUGUGAAAUCCCCGGGCUUAACCUGGGAGCUGCAUUUGAUACGUGCAGACUANAGUGUGAGAGAGGGUUGUGGAAUUCCCAGUGUAGAGGUGAAAUUCNUAGAUAUUGGGAAGAACACCGGUGGCGAANGCGGCAACCUGGCUCAUGACUGACGCUGAGGNGCGAAAGCGUGGGGAGCAUUAGGAUUACAUACCCUGGUAGUCCACGCUGUAAACGANGUGUGCU
rnacentral:rRNA from 1 species